UUACUCAACACUGGAAGUCCCUACAUACGCUCUAUAAAUAUCCGAGUUCAUAACAAUAUAUUUUAUUGGUCAUAAAUAAAGCCAGUAUGAAAUACUUAGCAAUUAUCUUUAUUGCUGUGUUGUUUGUGUCAGUUGCCGCAACUGAAUCAGGUUGGCAACAAGCAGAGUCUAUGCCGAGACAUCUACGCGUUAAAAGAUCUUUUUGCAAAACGAAUAAAGAAUGCCAUGACUUUUGCACAAUACUACUUGCGUAUAAAAAGGGAACCUGUCAUCUCAUUUGCUUUUGUUCAUAAUGUUGUGUUCAAAGAGAAAUAAAUGAAAAUGCAAUUGU